AAUUGAGAUGACUGAGUGGCGGACGGGUGAGUAACGCGUGGGUAACUACCCUAUCAGGGGGAUAACAGUUGGAAACAGCUGCUAAUACCGCAUAAGCGCACAGUAUCGCAUGAUACAGUGUGAAAAGCUCCGACGGAUAAGGAUGGACCCGCGUCUGAUUAGCUAGUUGGUGAGGUAACGGCUCACCAAGGCGACGAUCAGUAGCCGACCUGAGAGGGUGAUCGGCCACAUUGGGACUGAGACACGGCCCAAACUCCUACGGGAGGCAGCAGUGGGGAAUAUUGCACAAUGGGCGAAAGCCUGAUGCAGCGAACGCCGCGUGAGUGAUGAAGUAUUUCGGUAUGUAAAGCUCCAUCAGCAGGGAAGAAUAAUGACGGUACCUGACUAAGAAGCUCCGGCUAAAUACGUGCCAGCCGCCGC
rnacentral:rRNA from 1 species